rnacentral:rRNA from 1 species
UACAGAGGUCCCGAGCGUUGUUCGGAUUCACUGGGCGUAAAGGGUGCGCAGGUGGGUUGGCAAGUUCGAUGUGAAAGCCCCGGGCUUAACCCGGGAAUGGCAUUGGAAACUGCUGAUCUGGAGGGUCGGAGGGGGGACUGGAAUUCUUGGUGUAGCAGUGAAAUGCGUAGAUAUCAAGAGGAACACCAGUGGCGAAGGCGAGUCCCUGGACGAUACCUGACACUGAGGCACGAAAGCCAAGGGAGCAAACAGG